ACAAAGGCCCUGUUAAGGGCCACAGAAGGCCCACUAAAGGACAAAAU
rfam:Sarcophilus harrisii ctg7180001757536, whole genome shotgun sequence.